rnacentral:rRNA from 2 species
UACGUAGGGUGCGAGCGUUGUCCGGAAUUAUUGGGCGUAAAGGGCUCGUAGGCGGUUUGUCACGUCGGGAGUGAAAACUCGGGGCUUAACCCCGAGCCUGCUUCCGAUACGGGCAGACUAGAGGUAUGCAGGGGAGAACGGAAUUCCUGGUGUAGCGGUGAAAUGCGCAGAUAUCAGGAGGAACACCGGUGGCGAAGGCGGUUCUCUGGGCAUUACCUGACGCUGAGGAGCGAAAGUGUGGGGAGCGAACAGG